UUGCUGCUCAAGCCCCAACAAACUCUUACUCCUUAUUCUACUCAUCCUUGUCUUUGGAGAUUGGAUCCCCCUCUAACUGUGGAGAUACCCUAAGGAACUGGUGAACUGGCUUUUUCACCCUGGCUGUGGCCUGAAUGCCGUCGUCCUCAGUAACUGUUGUAGAACGAGAGCGAUGUUGUAAGAAAUGGGACGUUAUCAUUGACCUUUCAGCAGAGAAAAGGAGGAGAAAGACAGGACGGUGUGUCUGCAGCCCAACAGGUGUGAUGGGAACCAGAGGAUGAGCUGAGCUGAGCUGCAGACCAACUUCAUCCGAGGGACCAGCUUGCAGUCCCCACAAGCAGGAAAGGUUCCCAUGACAUGAGGGUGCGAGCAGGUUUUGGUCCUCAUGAUGUGGCAUAAACGCGAUCCACACUAACUCACACACACAGCGACUUUAAUCUAUUCUGUGUCCACUGCCCCCUGCCUGACCCUGCCUGCUGUUACUGGACCAGAGGGAUGCCCUCUCAACACCUCAGGGAGGAGAGCACAGGGUGGGGUCACUGACCAUGACCUUUGACCUCACACACAGGCAGGGAGAGAACACACCGCACAGUGUGGCACCGACACGAUGAUGCUCGGACAGCUGGACGUCUGCACGUCGACGGUCUGAUAAAAAAGACCACCUACUGAAUUCACCUGACAAAAAUGCCAUAUUUGUAAUAUGGUCACCCAUAUAAACACAUGAAUAUCCAGGACCCGAAGCCGACUGUGAACUCGGAUAGGGGGAAAAAGCUGUGUGCAAAAGUGUUGGCACCCCCGGUUAACUUCCAUGUUGUUAUUGAUUUUUGUUUUUUAAAUGUAAACAGGUUAAUGUCCUCUACAGAGAAUACAUUUAUGUGUACGUAUAUGCACAAUUACUGACUAUUUACUGUUUUUAACAUAUUGAGGGGGGAACAAAAACCCAAAAA